CCUUAACGUUCAUCACCCAGGGCCUGGGUCCACAGGAGGCCCCCUCAAUCAGUUCCAGCUAUGGAGUUAUGCAGUCUGGGCUUGAAAAUAGACUCUGCCUCUUACCAGCUAUGUGAUACUGAACUUCAACCAUUUAUAGCCUUGUGUCCUUUGCUGAAUGAAGCUAAUGGUUGGAACUACAUCUCGGGGUCACUGAGAUAACAUGUGAAGUGCUCAGCAGAUGGCCUGGCUGCACAGGCCAGAGCCCUGUGUUCCUGACGCCUCCUAGGGAAACGUUUACAAGGAUACCUGGGCACAGCAUUCCUGCUUUAUGACUGCACCCACUGCAGCAAAACUGUGUCUCCUUGAACCCUCCCCGAAAUCUCUGAACAAGCCCAAAUCUGUACAGUGAGCACCCCCUAACAUCCUCUACUGAGAUACCACGGUUCUCUGUGGCGUGGUAGUAAACCCAACCGUGUCUGACUUCACGUGAGUUCCUGGUGGUCUUCGGCUGGAGGCUUCAGCACCAUGUCUCAUGGUGACUAAAACUUUGUAACUAGGCAUCACUCUACGACUGUGUAGGUUAUUACAGUUGGCCCUCCCUGUUCGCGGGUUCUUUAUGCACAAGCAUUCCACCAAGCACGGAUCGAUUUUCAGUCUUCGGACCGAGGUUGGUUGAAUCCGCGGAGGUGGAACCUGCGAACAUGAAGGCUGACUGUACUCUGUCAUUUUACGUAAGGGACUUAAGCAUCCAUGGAUUUUGGUAUCUGGCAGGGGGGUGGGGGUCCUGGGACAAUCCCCACUGGAUAACGAGGGACAAGUGUAUUACUAGCUAAACAAAUUGAACAGAUGCGCUAUCUGCUGGGCCUGAAUUUUCUAAUCUGCAGCACGAGAAGGUUGACCAGAUGACUCUCCUUACAGGUGUCACAUUCUGUAAUUCCUGAGUAUUACUAAGCAUUUACUGUAUGUUGUACAUGUGGGGACUCUAAAAGGUGGCAUCUUUGAAUUUCCUCCUGGGCUGCAGUGCUUACUUGCUGUGUGACCCUGGGCAAGAUACAGAGCCCUGAACUUCAGUUUUUUAACUGUAACGUUGUGGUGAUGUUGGUUAAUAAUAAUAUUAAUGAUAAUAAUAGCAUAAAAUUUCUAAGAGCUUACUCUGUUACCUGCAUCAAGCUCCCAUUAAUUCUCACAAUAACUUUUAAGAGGUCAGCACUGUUAACUCCAUUAAACCCGUGAGGAAAUGGAGUCACAGAGGAGUUAAGUAACUUUCCUAAGAUCACACAGCUUAGUAGCAUCA